UCAACUUGAGAGUUUGAUCCUGGCUCAGAACGAACGCUGGCGGCAGGCUUAACACAUGCAAGUCGAACGAGAAGCACCCUUCGGGGUGUGGAAAGUGGCAGACGGGUGAGUAACGCGUGGGAAUAUACCUAGAGGUACGGAACAACGCCGGGAAACUGGUGCUAAUACCGUAUGUGCCCUUCGGGGGAAAGAUUUAUCGCCUUUAGAUUAGCCCGCGUUAGAUUAGCUUGUUGGUGAGGUAAAAGCUCACCAAGGCGACGAUCUAUAGCUGGUCUGAGAGGAUGAUCAGCCACACUGGGACUGAGACACGGCCCAGACUCCUACGGGAGGCAGCAGUGGGGAAUCUU
rnacentral:rRNA from 1 species